UGUGUGAUUCACGUUCAGUUUUGUUAAAUAAGACCCAUGCUUAUUGGAGCACUUCAGUAAUCCUGACUUCCUGGGACUGUAUGUUCUCGCCACUUUAAUAAGUUUAUAGUCUGGGGAAGUAGGGCAUCUUUAUCUGCACAAAAACACUGUGUAUCAGUUGGAUUGAAUCGUGGGAGUUAAUGGCAAACUUCCCAAAUUAUCACUGAGAGUUCUAGAAACAGUUGGCAUUUAGCUAUGGGGGAGGGGCGGUAGGUCGCCAGCCUGCCUGAAAGGGGUUGGGCAGGUCCUGUGUGCCCUUCGUGUCUAAAUGGAGGCUUCUCUGCUGCUUUGACUAUUUCUCUCUUAGUUUUGCUGCCCUGCAUGGGAUGAAGUCUGUAAUCGCAAACACUAAACACUCAAAUUACUUGUCUUACCUUUAGUUUGUAAACUCAGAUCUCUAGAAUUUAGGACGAACACGCCAACCCUGUGAGGAAAGAAAAUAUGUGUAAAAAAAGCUAAGCAACUUCAUUAACUUGUUAACGUCUUCAGAAUUCUUGCAGUUGACCCUGUCUUUGAAGCACACUUCUAAUCUGUACAUGUUGUUAGCAUAGGAGACUGGUGGUAAAUGGAGUGUGUGGGUGGUUUUUUUUUUUUUUUUGGUAGUGUUGGGAAUUGAGCCUAGAGCCUCACUCCUGAUAGAUAAGUGCUCUACCAAUGAGCUACUGCCCAACCUUGAUAUUGUAUUUUGUUGAAGACCAAUAAAACAUUUUAACUUUUUAUAUAAACCCAAGAACCUCUUUUGAUACUUGUAGUCUCCAUCUAAUUAAGGUUUUUGCAAGACUGAUUAUCAUAAUACCUGUCUGCCAGAGAACCAGAAAUAACUGCUUCCUGUGAAACUGGUAAGCUUUCAAGCUAGCGAGCUAGGUCGCUACAGCUUUAUAAACAUGGGGUCUCUGAUGAAAAGGGGCUGACACAUGGACCUUUGACACUUGAACCUGUUGAGUAAAUGUCCUAGUUCACUUACAGCGAUGAAGUGUAACUGCAGAGUGGUCUCCACACAGUUUCUCCAAGGAUGGCUGGCUACUGUGGACAUUCACUGAGCAGGUGUGGAUGGAGCUGAAACUAUUUGUUAAGGUUUGAUACUUACAUUAACACUGAGAGAGAUGGCAGAAACAUUGGCUCUGCUUACAACUGUUUUUCUAGUACAUGUGAAUUUGACUCAUUUUCAGAAAUAUUUACAGUGUAUGUACAUCCCUGAAGUGGGAAGAGGAAACAGUGAGCAGGAGACAUUUACAUUUUGUCCUCAGACCUGGGGUUGUGUAGCAAGAAGGCCUUCACCUUGCUUGCUGAACUGCCAUCAACAGAGCCUUGGGAUGAUGGUCAGGAGGUCUGACGACUUAUGUUGGUGGCAUCCUACUUAGUAAUUGUACAGUUUAUUGCCUUUUUGCCAGACAUCUGGACAAGGACAGGGACUCUGCCUGAGCCACCUCCAGGAAGGUGUGAGGAGGCACUGCCUGUCACACUGCCUGUCACACUGCCUGUCACACUGCCUGUCGCUCAGGCCUUCAGACUGAUCCCUGUGACCAAUCUGUAGUGUUGGCUUUCUCUGUGGUGAGAUGGAAAGGUGCUCCAAGGUGUUUAUUAGGCUUUGAAGAGGCCUCUACCAGGUCGUUUUGACCCUUGUUCCAUGCUCUUUCUGGAUGACAGUUUAUGACACAUUUCCCUGCUGCUUUGCCACGCUUGGAUUUCUGAUUUCCUGACAGACUUCUUGUUUCUGAUUGGGCUGAGCUCUGAGGUACCUCUGGUGAAUAGUCUAGGAGUCCUGAUAUCAUGCUUAAGCCUUCUGUAUGCUGAGGUAUGGGGUCUUGUCCGUUCCUGUUUUCCCUAGAUUAAAUAAAGGUAGCCUCCGUAUACUGGUGGUAGGAAGAGAAUAUUAAGAGUGGAGAGAAGAGUGUGGUCAACAGUCCACACAAUCGAGCAUUUCUCAAAACUGAGUGUUCCUGCAUGUUGUGUUGUCUUGUAGUGGUCUGAGCAAGGGUGCUUUUGGUAACUACUCAGUCUCUGUCCCUCUCGGUGGUGCCCUUGAGGGUAGAACUUAGGCCUUAAGUUUUCCCCUUGUAUCAUAGAGUUGAGACAAUAGAUGUGUAGUGUUCAGAAGUGUUUGGCAUGCUGUGUAUUGCCGGAGUGUCACCCUGUGCAUUGGGUUGGAAGGUGGCGGCUUCUUCUUCUUCUUCUUCUUCUUCUUCUUCUUCUUCUUCUUCUUCUUCUUCUUCUUCUUCUUUUUUUGUUACAUUUCAAUUUUUUUCUUUAAAAGGAGUGAGUUGUGUACAGGGGGUUAAAUGCUUUAUAG
rnacentral:lncRNA from 1 species